rnacentral:rRNA from 1 species
GGACGAACGCUGGCGGCGUGCCUAACACAUGCUAUUCGAACGGAGAACCUAUGGAAUGCGACUUCGGUCAAAUGAAAUUUGUUCUUAGUGGCGGACGGGUGAGUAACACGUGAGCAACCUGCCUUUCAGAGGGGAAUAACGGCUGGAAACGGUCGCUAAUACCGCAUAAUAUACAUUUAAGGCAUCUUAGAUGUAUCAAAGAUUUUAUCGCUGAAAGAUGGGCUCGCGUCUGAUUAGAUAGUUGGUGAGGUAACGGCUCACCAAGUCGACGAUCAGUAGCCGGACUGAGAGGUUGAACGGCCACAUUGGGACUGAGACACGGCCCAGACCCCUACGGGAGGCAGCAGUGGGGAAUAUUGCACAAUGGGCGCAAGCCUGAUGCAGCAACGCCGCGUGAGGGAAGACGGUUUUCGGAUUGUAAACCUUUGUCUUUGGUGAAGAAGAAAGUGACGGUAACCAAGGAGGAAGCCACGGCUAACUACGUGCCAGCAGCCGCGGUAAUACGUAGGUGGCAAGCGUUGUCCGGAAUUACUGGGUGUAAAGGGGAGCGCACGUGGGACUGCAAGUUGGAUGUGAAAUACCGGGGCUCAACCCCGGGGCUGCAUCCAAAACUGUAGGUUCUUGAGUGAAGUAGAGGUAGGCGGAAAUUCCGAGGGUAGCGGUGAAAUGCGUAGAUAUUCGGAGGAACACCAGUGGCGAAGGCGGCCUACUGGGCUUUAACUGACGCUGAGGCUCGAAAGUGUGGGGAGCAAACAGGAUUAGAUACCCUGGUAGUCCACACUGUAAACGAUGAUAGCUAGGUGUGGGGGGUCUGACCCCUUCCGUGCCGGAGUUAACGCAAUAAGCUAUCCACCUGGGGAGUACGGCCGCAAGGUUGAAACUCAAAGGAAUUGACGGGGGCCCGCACAAGCAGUGGAUUAUGCGGUUUAAUUCGAAGCAACGCGAAGAACCUUACCAGGUCUUGACAUCCAACUAACGAGAUAGAGAUAUGUUAGGUGCCCUUCGGGGAAAGUUGAGACAGGUGGUGCAUGGUUGUCGUCAGCUCGUGUCGUGAGAUGUUGGGUUAAGUCCCGCAACGGGCGCAACCCCUGCCAUUAGUUGCUACGCAAGAGCACUCUAAUGGGACCGCUACCGACAAGGUGGAGGAAGGUGGGGACGACGUCAAAUCAUCAUGCCCCUUAUGACCUGGGCUACACACGUAAUACAAUGGCCGUUAACAAAGAGAAGCAAAGUCGCGAGGCAGAGCAAAACUCCAAAAACGGUCCCAGUUCGGAUUGUAGGCUGCAACCCGCCUACAUGAAGUUGGAAUAGCUAGUAAUCGCGGAUCAGCAUGCCGCGGUGAAUACG